rnacentral:misc_RNA from 1 species
CUAUUUAGAAAGUUCACAAGUCUUGACACACGAAUAUGUAUCCAUUUUCGACACUCAUACCCAAGUCCAAGUAACCUAGUGGGGGAUUAAUAGGCUGGACGGGCCUCUCAGCGGGUAAAGGGAUGGGAACAAAAUAAUAGUAUGUUGGAAGUCAAACAGCAAACUGAUUCUAAGUGAUGAAAAAAAUUGUUUCGGAUGGAAGAGAUGAUAUGCAUGAGUAAUAAAUUUUGGCCGGGUGCACUGUUCUUGACAAAUUAGGCUCAGUUGACUUUGUAUUCCCAUAUAAAGUCGAUACUCAAAUGAAGAUGAUGAAUAUUAUAGUAUCAAUAAUAUUACCAAUAACAAAGAGGGGAAAAAGGUUUAUGAAGUUGUUUUAGUUCCAUGCUCGGCCUGGAUGCUUGAGGCCAAGUUUUCUUCAAAUGACAGAUUAUUGCAGGGGAGAAGAAAAAUUGAGAAUUAUUUUCAUGUAAUUAUUGAUUUUGAUAAUGUAGGGAUUUUAUGUUUAUUCUAUUAAGGAGUACAUCUAACAUCCUAUUUAGAAAAAAAUCAAGUUCCUUUUAUUUUUGGGAUAUUGGCAUUCUUAUAAUCUUUGUAUAAGUGUUGGGGUAUAUUUAUAGUCUUUAUGCACACUCUAUUUAUUCUAUUACGUUUCAUAAAUGAACAUAUACAUAACAGUUUUACAAAAAUCUAGCUCUCGAGUGAUGCAAAUUUUAGUGUCAACUGUCAAGUCUUAAACCUGUAUCAUUCUCAAAUCUGCUUAAAAUUCAAACCUGACAAAGUUUUUAUUUAUUUCCACUAUUGAUCAACAUCAGAAGAGUCCUAAAUUUAAAAAAGAAAAUACUGUUUGCAGUACCAAAACCUGCAUUGCAAACAGCCUAAAAACUUGAUUGAUCUUGUUAAAUUGAUUCCAAGUCAUACUUGAACUCUAAACACAUACAUAUUUUUUUAACCCCUUAUAUCAUAAAUAUUACAUCUUUAGUAAUUGUUAAAGAAUCUCUCCCUGCUCUUACACAUUUAUCCAAUCUCUGCAAGCUGUCCUACAUCAUUGUUUGCAAAAUGCAGAAAACCAAUGGAGUUUUGAUUAUGGUAAAUUAUGCCAAUUAUUGUUUUGUUGUUUCAUUAGCAUGUCUUCAUGUGUUUUCUUCAUUCCUCAUUUGCAGGAGGGAUUGUGAACAACUCUCUACGUCCACAAAUCCCAACAUGGUGUGAUCCGGAAUGGAAGUCAUUAAUGGAAAGUUGCUGGGCCUCUGAUCCGGCAGAGAGGCCAUCGUUUUCAGAAGUUUCAAGGAAACUGAGGAACAUGGCUGCUGCAAUUAAUGUGAAAUAAUUCCAUUCCUGGAGCAGUUGAUUUCACUUUGACUAUCUUACUGGCUGAA